rnacentral:rRNA from 1 species
AGUGAACGCUGGCGGUAGGCCUAACACAUGCAAGUCGAACGGCAGCACAGUAAGAGCUUGCUCUUACGGGUGGCGAGUGGCGGACGGGUGAGGAAUACAUCGGAAUCUACUUUUUCGUGGGGGAUAACGUAGGGAAACUUACGCUAAUACCGCAUACGACCUACGGGUGAAAGCAGGGGAUCUUCGGACCUUGCGCGAUUGAAUGAGCCGAUGUCGGAUUAGCUAGUUGGCGGGGUAAAGGCCCACCAAGGCGACGAUCCGUAGCUGGUCUGAGAGGAUGACCAGCCACAAGGGGACGGAGACACGGCCCAGACUCCUACGGGAGGCAGCAGUGGGGAAUGUUGGACAAUGGGCGCAAGCCUGAUCCAGCAAUGCCGCGGGGAGGAAGAAGGCCUUCGGGUUGUAAACUUCUUUUGUGGGGAAAGAAAAGGCGCUGGUUAAUACCCGGGGCUAAUGACGGUACCGAAAGAAUAAGCACCGGCUAACUACGUG